rnacentral:rRNA from 1 species
UACGUAGGGUGCGAGCGUUAAUCGGAAUUACUGGGCGUAAAGCGUGCGUAGGCGGUUCUCCAAGUCCGUUGUGAAAGCCCCGGGCUCAACCUGGGAAUGGCAGUGGAAACUAGGGGACUGGAAUCUGGCAGAGGGGGGUGGAAUGCCGCGUGUAGCAGUGAAAUGCGUAGAGAUGCGGCGGAACACCGAUGGCGAAGGCAGCCCCUGGGCUGAGAUUGACGCUCAGGCACGAAAGCGUGGGGAGCAAACAG